ACUGGUAGAGGUGCAUGAUUUAUAAGUAUCUUAUUGGAGACAGAGGCAGUCUUUGAAAAUAGGAGAAAGGAAAGAAUGCCGAAAUUUCACAGAAGGUGUCUUAGCUGUGAAGUUGGGGGUACGGUUAAGAGCCGUAUCACUGUCAUCAAACGAUGGAGUGCUGCCUGA
rnacentral:ncRNA from 1 species